rfam:Clostridium butyricum E4 str. BoNT E BL5262 CLP.Contig62, whole genome shotgun sequence.
GGAGGAAUUCCCGAGUGGCCAAAGGGGGCAGACUGUAAAUCUGUUGCGUUAGCUUCGAUGGUUCAAAUCCAUCUUCCUCCA